rnacentral:lncRNA from 1 species
CUCGUACCAAUAUAUAGCCUCCCCUUUAAAUCUAUACGCCGCUAACUCCACUGUCUCUCUACCCGUUACAUGCAUAACAUCUAAGGCCCUUUGAAUUUGAUCAAUAAAGUCCUGUGGGUCCUCGUUAAGAUCUGAUCCAGUAAAAGUGGGAGGAUCCAUCUUAAGAAAAUCCUGUGUUCGAAGGCUAGCCGCCCUAUUUGUACUACUAG